AUUGAACGCUGGCGGCAGGCCUAACACAUGCAAGUCGAACGGUAACAGGAAGCAGCUUGCUGCUUUGCUGACGAGUGGCGGACGUGUGAGUAAUGUCUGGGAAACUGCCUGAUGGAGGGGGAUAACUACUGGAAACGGUAGCUAAUACCGCAUAACGUCGCAAGACCAAAGAGGGGGACCUUAGGGCCUCUUGCCAUCGGAUGUGCCCAGAUGGGAUUAGCUAGUAGGUGGGGUAACGGCUCACCUAGGCGACGAUCCCUAGCUGGUCUGAGAGGAUGACCAGCCACACUGGAACUGAGACACGGUCCAGACUCCUACGGGAGGCAGCAGUGGGGAAUAUUGCACAAUGGGCGCAAGCCUGAUGCAGCCAUGCCGCGUGUAUGAAGAAGGCCUUCGGGUUGUAAAGUACUUUCAGCGGGGAGGAAGGGAGUAAAGUUAAUACCUGUGCUCAUUGACGUUACCCGCAGAAGAAGCACCGGCUAACUCCGUG
rnacentral:rRNA from 1 species